GAUGAACGCUGGCGGCGUGCCUAAUACAUGCAAGUCGAGCGAACAGAUAAGGAGCUUGCUCCUUUGACGUUAGCGGCGGACGGGUGAGUAACACGUGGGUAACCUACCUAUAAGACUGGGAUAACUUCGGGAAACCGGAGCUAAUACCGGAUAAUAUUUCGAACCGCAUGGUUCGAUAGUGAAAGAUGGUUUUGCUAUCACUUAUAGAUGGACCCGCGCGGUAUUAGGUAGUUGGUAAGGUAACGGCAUACCAAGGCGACGAUACGUAGGCGACCUGAGAGGGGGAUCGGCGACACUGGAACUGAGACACGGUCCAGACUCCUACGGGAGGCAGCAGUAGGGAAUCUUCGGCAAUGGGGGAAAGCCUGACGGAGCAACGCCGCGUGAGUGAUGAAGGUCUUCGGAUCGUAAAACUCUGUUAUGAGGGAAGAACAUACGUGUAAGUAACUGUGCACGUCUUGACGGUACCUAAUCAGAAAGCCACGGCUAACUACGUG
rnacentral:rRNA from 1 species